AAUCAACGCUGGCGGCGUGCCUCAGACAUGCAAGUCGAACGAUUAAACUUGCCUUCGGGCAAGAUAUAAAGUGGCGCACGGGUGAGUAACACGUAAGUAAUCUACCUUCGAGUGGGGAAUAACGUCGGGAAACCGACGCUAAUACCGCAUAAUGCAGCGGCACCUAAUGGUGACAGUUGUUAAAGGAGCAAUUCGCUUGAAGAGGAGCUUGCGGCAGAUUAGCUAGNGGUAAGGUAAUGGCUUACCAAGGCUACGAUCUGUAACCGGUCUAAGAGGACGGUCGGUCACACUGACACUGAAUAACGGGUCAGACUCCUACGGGAGGCAGCAGUCGGGAAUUUUGGG
rnacentral:rRNA from 1 species